AGACAGACCCUUCUCUGCCGUGUCCUUGGUGCAGACUGUGCUUAGAUGGCAUAGCAUAUAACUAGAACAUAUUUCUGCACUUUUUGGUUUCGUUUUACAAAUUCAUUCAAAGUCAGACAAAAAGGUGGUAGCUUUAUUUUGGCAGCUUUGUGUUACCGUCUUAUUAACACAAAUCUUUACAAUGUCUACAGAUAAAAAGCUUCAUGGGUUAAAACACUUUUAAUGACUUUCAUUUUGAGGAUAACUGCAAUAGGCUAUGAUGAUUAUAACACUUGAUUAUAACACUUGGAAGAUAGCCACCGGGAGAAAGGGAUGGAAGAGAAGCCAGAUGCUCAACGGAAGAGAAGAAGGUCACGUCUGGCAAGGCCAAAAAGAAAUCAGCAGACCAAGGCACUGAAGAAGGUCCCUCAGUGGCAUUCUGUUCACCCAGAGCGCAGUAUCCAGAUAAAUACCAAAACAGAGCGGCAGUAAUUCAACUCUUACAGGAGGAAGGAACUACGGAAGAGUCUACUUUACCCAAGAGGACGUCUGCUUCCCAAUCAUCAUUCAUUUCAUGAGGAAUCUCACUGAUAGGAAGUGGAAGGUGAUUCAGGAGGGCAUGAGAAAUCCUACAACCAAAGCACACCUUGCCAAAAUGUAUAGGAAGAUAGCGAAAACGGUUUCCCACAUGGCGGUAGAGAUCCUCAUCCUGAC